GGUGGUAGCUAGGUUUCUAACUGCUUGCGGGGGAUAUUACAGAUAAGCAAGGGAGGAAGCUAGAAUGAUUUAUGUAAUAUGGAUCAGAAUUGCAGACAUCACUACAAACUCAUGUUUGGCUUAAUAUAGAUGGCUACAUAUAGAAAUAUUCAUGGGUAUUUGUAUAUUAAAGAGGUAGCAUACACACGUAUUUCAUUGCUCUAUCUGCUGAGAGGGCCUAGAUGCAAACACAUUCCAGCAGCAACUAACCGACCGCCCCCACCCCCACACCUCCGAUCCUGCUAUCUAACUCCAUGCCUUCAACAAAAGGAGUCAGGGCUCUUUGCAGAAAUGCUGGAUUCAGGAAAUACACCAGAUGAGCCUGGAGUACUGUGUAGUGCCAGAAAGUUAAAACGUGCUCAAAACAACAAACAAUGAUGGGGCAAGGGGAUACAAGAGCCAAAUCAAAGAGUUUUUAGCAGCCACAUUAAAACAAUUUGUGCAAUGAAAUAAAGAAGUACUUAUAAUACAAGGUAUAAAACAAAUAUCCAUGAUUCUUUACUGAUAAAAAUAAAUAAAUGACUGAAUAAAGCAAUAAAUGGGAGAGGACAGACAAAUCUAUGCAAAAGAAUUCCAAAUACUUGACAUAACUGUUUUAACUGUUUUAACUGCCUUUAAGGAGGUAGAGCAAAACUUUCCACUCUGUAAGUGCAUGUAAGUGCAGACCAUGCAUAACGACUUUUUUUUUUUUCCCCAAAAAGUACUUCAUGGAAAGAAAAACAGUAACUUUACAAAUACUAUCUCAAGCCAGGUGAUCAAGGUUAACAUCAACAGUGAUAAGUCAUAAUGAUAGUAUGUACCCUUCAAAUUAUAUGAUGAGAAUGCCAUCUUACCUCUCUGUCUUCCUCCCAAAAACAUAUUAACCAUGAGGAAAACAUCAAAUUCCAGUUAAAGGAGAUUCUACAAAAUAGGCCUGACCAGUAAUCUUCAAAAUUGUGAAGAUCACCAAAAUUGUCAAGAUCACCAAAAAUCUGAAAAACAGUCACAGUCCAGGGGAGCCUAAGGAGGAUAAGAACUAAAUGUGGUCCCAGACAAGAUCCUGGAACAGAAAAUGAACACUAAGGGAAAACUAAGGAAAUAUGAACAAGGAGAUUCCAUGAAAGGAGAGAGGCUGGCACAGCUGGUUGUUCUAUGGCCAUGAGGAGAAGCAUGACAAGAGAGAAGAGAUGCCACUAGAUGAAAAGAACUCUCCAGAGAAGAGUGGAGGCCCAAACUGGGAAGUUAGCUGUAGCAGCUGAUGUCACAAAGCCUGGCUGAGGACCAAAGAGAAACAGGUUCGUUUGGAAGUUCGUAUCUGAGCAGACUGGCUCAACCAGAAGUCCAGAAAAGUGUGGACCAGCUUCAACAGGACAGCACUAACACAGACUACUGCAGUCUCUGCACAGAGAGGCCUAAAGGAGAGGUCACAGCAGUACUCUGCAGGGCAUAACCCUUACAGAAGAACUAUUUGAUGGCAACACACGUAGAAACAAGUAGACAAACACAGCUGUGAAUGAUAAACUCAAAUGACAGUGCUCAGGCAGACAACGGCCCUUCCAACAGUCCAGAACAGGCUUAUUUUAUCUUGUUGUCAUUAGGAUCAAAUGAAAAACAAAAUCUUAAAAUUCUUAUGGAGAACUCUCAGACACUUGAACAUACAUUCCUAAAUUCCAAGAGAGCCACAGAAUCCAUUCUGAGAAACACUGAUGUACUGACUGGUUAAAAAUAAUAAUUGCCCUAGAGGCAACUGAAUUCAUGUAUUUAAUAAUAAUAGCUAACAUUUAGCAGGUGCUUAUGCGUGCUUGGCAGCCAACAUAUAUGGUUUUCUGACCCCAAUGCCCUGCUCCAGUGCACAGUAAUUAGAAAGGAAUAACUAGCCUGGGCAACAUAGGGAGACCCCAUCUCUACAAAUAAUUUAAAAAAUUAGCCAGGUGUGGUGGCACAUGCCUGUAGUCCCAGCUACUAGGAGGGCCACCUGAACCUGGGAGGUUGAGGCUGUACUGAUCCAUGAUCAUGCCGCCACACUCCAACAUGGGUGACAGAGCAAGAGCCCAUCUCAGGGAAAAAAAAAAGGAGGCAAAGAACUAUUAUUUAUGGUUCAUAAUCCACAUGCUAGGCACUUCACUCAGUAUGCUGCAUGCAUUCAUGUAUAACUGUAAAAUACAUGUGCC
rnacentral:lncRNA from 1 species